AAGCCCUGCUGAGAAAAAGAAAUUCAGUCUUAACAAUUCCAACCGGAAAGGCUGUUUCAACAAUGGCACCUCGCUUGCCUCUCCUUUCAAAACUGAGUCCUAGUUUUUAUCACUUUGCAGUAGCCUCGGACACAAUACAGAGCACCAGAUGGACAUGAGGAUGUGUGAUUUUGCUCAUCGAUUCUGAAAAAGGUUGAUAUAAAUGGUGUCAGAAAACGGGACCUGAAGAAAGCUCGCUCUCAGAAGAAUCGGCGGUUCUUGACUUCGGCGUGCAGUCCUCACUUGAGCCCUCUGAGAUCCCUGCCUCAGCAGCUGGCCUUUUCGGCCCUGGAGUCUUCUCUUAGGCUGAGCUUAUCUCUUUUUGUCAGAGCAUUUUUGAUAUUAUUUGGGAUCUGGUUUGGUUAUAAGGCUGCCUUAAAUGAAGGAUCUUACAUCUCUUCUGGGAUGAUAAACGACUAUAUGUCUUUUCUGGUAAGUCCUUUCUGGUAUAAAAACAAGUGUCUUUCUGUUUGAGUGCUCUGAUUUCUACAGAAUUUGCAGUCUGUCUCUGAGCCAUGUUUU
rnacentral:lncRNA from 1 species